rnacentral:rRNA from 1 species
CGUGCCAGCAGCCGCGGUAACACGAACUGUGCGAACGUUAUUCGGAAUCACUGGGCUUAAAGGGUGCGUAGGCGGUCUUGUAGGUCAGAUGUGAAAUCCCACGGCUCAACCGUGGAAUUGCGUUUGAAACCACAGGACUUGAGUAAGAUAGAGGUAAGCGGAACUGAUGGUGGAGCGGUGAAAUGCGUUGAUAUCAUCAGGAACACCGGUGGCGAAAGCGGCUUACUGGGUCUUUACUGACGCUGAGGCACGAAAGCUAGGGGAGCGAACGGGAUUAGAUACCCCGG